UUUUAAGGAAAGAGUGAUAUGAUAUCGAGUUAAAAAAAAAAAGAAGUGGACAAUUCUUAAAUAAAUUAAGCUGUGGAGCGUGGUGAACGCGAAAUUCCUUCCUCCACCCGAGGAACCCUAAAUGAUGCGGAGCACCGAACUCUCGGUAUUGCAGUAAGAGAGGAGAGAAGUCGCUUGCAACCGGUUUCAACAAACUAAAGCUAAAUAAAGUCAUGUAGCGGCGCGAACGUAGGAAAUCGUUCUGCCGAUAAUUGCGCCCACGAAAAACAUUUCGAGCUUGGCCGCGGAACGAUCAUUAUUCGCCCCGUAAUAUUUAAAAACAGCAAUCAUCAUCAUCGUCAUCAUCAUUAUCGAGUUCCCAUCUGUAUAAUCACCGCGGGUUUGAUACGUUGAUAAGUCGACCCUUCCACGGCGAUUCAUUUGAAUAUAAAUCCGGCUGUCUACACACGUUGAAAAUCUCAGGAACGAAUACGAAGGAUGAGAAGGAUGGGGAACCGAGAGGACCAAGAAACAAGUCGGACGAAGAGAGGUAGAAGAAGGAGACGAAACGAAGAAUUCUUUUUUCGUUGCACAUUGUAACCGCAAACCGCGGUGGUCGACCAUGCAAGAUAUUUUUUAUUCACCUUAUUUUGGGUUCCUCCGCGCGUUUGACUUUCUUCUUUUAUAUCGUUUUAAUAUUCGCGCACGAAUAGAGUUUACAAGCAUACUUGUACGUAUACAGUUUCUUCGUAACUUUAUUUCAGAAUAUCGUGGUAAAUGCGAAAUAUGAAUACUUGUAAUUGCAUCUGCAAAAAGAAUUAAUAAAUUUUAGAAUAUAAAUAAAAAUAUGUUUAAUAAAGGAUUAUAAUUAAGAAAAUUAAAUUUAAAUAAUUUUUAAGAAAUAAUUUAAAUAUACGAUGUAAAAGAGAAUAAUAAAUAUCGAACUCGAGGAUAUAAUAUUGUUUCACGAGUUCGAUGACCCGAAACCAUGGAAGAUUUUUAAAAA